GAUUGAACGCUGGCGGUAUGCUUAACACAUGCAAGUCGAACGGAAACGAUACUAGCUUGCUAGUAGGCGUCGAGUGGCGGACGGGUGAGUAACGCGUAGGAAUCUACCUGAUAGUGGGGGAUAGCCCGAAGAAAUUCGGAUUAAUACCGCAUAAUCUAUUCGUAGUAAAGUGGGGGACUUUCGAGCCUCACGCUAUCAGAUGAGCCUGCGUAAGAUUAGCUAGUUGGUAGGGUAAAAGCCUACCAAGGCUACGAUCUUUAGCUGGUCUGAGAGGAUGAUCAGCCACAUCGGGACUGAGACACGGCCCGAACUCCUACGGGAGGCAGCAGUGGGGAAUAUUGGACAAUGGGGGCAACCCUGAUCCAGCAAUACCGCGUGUGUGAAGAAGGCCUGAGGGUUGUAAAGCACUUUCAAUUGUGAAGAAAAGCUAGUGGUUAAUAGCCAUUAGCCUUGACGUUAACUUUAGAAGAAGCACCGGCUAACUCCGUGCCAGCAGCCGCGGUAAUACGGAGGGUGCAAGCGUUAAUCGGAAUUACUGGGCGUAAAGCGUGCGUAGGCGGUUUAUUAAGUCAGAUGUGAAAGCCCCGGGCUUAACCUGGGAACUGCAUUUGAAACUGGUCAACCAGAGUAUGGUAGAGGAAAGUGGAAUUUCUGGUGUAGCGGUGAAAUGCGUAGAUAUCAGAAGGAACAUCAAUGGCGAAGGCAACUUUCUGGACCAAUACUGACGCUGAGGUACGAAAGCGUGGGUAGCAAACAGGAUUAGAUACCCCUGGUAGUCCACGCCGUAAACGAUGAUAACUAGCCGUUGGGGGGAUUUACCCCUUAGUGGCGAAGCUAACGCGUUAAGUUAUCCGCCUGGGGAGUACGGCCGCAAGGUUAAAACUCAAAGGAAUUGACGGGGACCCGCACAAGCGGUGGAGCAUGUGGUUUAAUUCGAUGCAACGCGAAGAACCUUACCUGGUCUUGACAUCCUGAGAACUUUCUAGAAAUAGAUUGGUGCCUUCGGGAACUCAGUGACAGGUGCUGCAUGGCUGUCGUCAGCUCGUGUCGUGAGAUGUUGGGUUAAGUCCCGUAACGAGCGCAACCCCUAUCCUUAUUUGCCAGCACAUCAUGGUGGGAACUAUAAGGAGACUGCCGGUGAUAAACCGGAGGAAGGCGGGGACGACGUCAAGUCAUCAUGGCCCUUACGACCAGGGCUACACACGUGCUACAAUGGGAAGGACAAAGAGCCGCGAAGCCGCGAGGUGUAGCUAAUCUCAGAAACCUUUUCGUAGUCCGGAUUGGAGUCUGCAACUCGACUCCAUGAAGUCGGAAUCGCUAGUAAUCGUAGAUCAGAAUGCUACGGUGAAUACGUUCCCGGGUCUUGUACACACCGC
rnacentral:rRNA from 1 species